UUUAAAAUUAUCUUUUCCAUUUAAUAAUUUAUUAAUAAACUAAUAAUGUAUAUGAAAUAAUUACACAAAGUGUAAUCUGUUUUCAAUAGUUUUAUAAUAAGGUAAAGAAGAACAAGUUUGUUUAUGUUUAUUGUCUAGCCAUAGGUCCCUUAGUGUAUAAUUAUUGGUCCUGAGAGAUUCCAUCAGUACCAGUACUCCAUCAGUAUCAAUGUUAGUACCAUCGAGAGUAAGGUAAGAUAGUGUGUGGUUGUAGAGUAAAAGUUCAGCUAGUGACUGAGCACUGGUUGAAGUGAUGUCAGGAUUGUUAUGAAGGAUGCAAUGACUCCAUCAUCAUUGAUGGAAUUGGGACUGAUCCAUAGUGUCUCUAAUGAAGUAUUGUUUGUUAUUUUGUGAGACAUACUUGAGACAUCAUCAAGUAUACAAUAUCAGGUGAUGAGUGAAAGAGGUUAAUUUCCUGAUGACUGUCCGUUAAUUGACUGAUCACUUCCUGACAAUGACCUGCUGAUGGUUUAGUGAGGGUUACACUAUGACUCUCCCACUCCACCUCUCCAGUCUCUUCUCCUAAUAAUAAACACAGUGAUGCUGGUUUUUGUACCAGUAAGUCAUUACAGCUGCUAGGAUGGAAUGGGUGUGGUCUAUCUUUUAUCAUGUGACAGUAAACAAAAAUCAAUUGGUGAAGGUCACUGUAGUACUUAUAAACUGAUUCAACCACAUGCAGUUAAGUGUGGACACAAUUGAGCUGGUUUCUGAACCAUUUCAAGUUGAACUGGCUUGUAUGUAUAGAUGUGACUUAAUUUUUGUGAUUUUUUUGGUAAAUUUCAAAUAUGCAGUUUUUGUGAUUAUUGAUAUUGUAUUUAAAAAUUAAUUAUUAAACAUAAACACUUUUUGAAUUUACUAUAUCAAGAGUAAAUUUACCCUUGACUGUAUCACAUACAAA